UGUCGGUUCGUCCUAGAAUCCCAUCAUUGGCACGCUGAACGCGCACCGCGACGCUUCGUUUCGGUUCGAUUCGGUUCCCGACUAGCUUCGUCUUCGUUUUACUUCGUCAAGUUCGUACUGGGGAGGAAGAGGAUAAGGAUAAGGAUAAGGAUAAGGAUAAGGAUAAGGAUUCGCAUGUCAGCGCUCGUCGACUCAGUGAUCUUUGUUGUGAUCUCCGUUCUGCCGCCCACGCGACAAUCGACACGUUAGUGUUGUAACGUUGUUAAUUUCAGCAGCGCCGUAUCGCCUAUAACCGAGAUAAAGAAAGACGAAGAA